rnacentral:snRNA from 1 species
GAUCGUGGUCUGCAGCACGC